UACAGAGGGGGCAAGCGUUGUUCGGAAUUACUGGGCGUAAAGGGCGCGUAGGCGGGUUUGCAAGUGGGUCGUGAAAUCCCUCGGCUCAACCGAGGAACGUCGAUCGAUACUGCUGUUCUUGAGGAUUGCAGAGGAGACUGGAAUUCCCGGUGUAGCGGUGAAAUGUGUAGAGAUCGGGAGGAACACCAGUGGCGAAGGCGGGUCUCUGGACAAUUCCUGACGCUGAGGCGCGAAAGCGUGGGGAGCAAACGGG
rnacentral:rRNA from 1 species